CCUACGGGUGGCAGCAGUGGGGAAUAUUGGACAAUGGGGGAAACCCUGAUCCAGCAAUGCCGCGUGAGUGAUGAAGGCCUUAGGGUUGUAAAGCUCUUUUACCAGGGAUGAUAAUGACAGUACCUGGAGAAUAAGCUCCGGCUAACUCCGUGCCAGCAGCCGCGGUAAUACGGAGGGAGCUAGCGUUGUUCGGAAUUACUGGGCGUAAAGCGCACGUAGGCGGCUUUUCAAGUCAGGGGUGAAAUCCCGGGGCUCAACCCCGGAACUGCCCUUGAAACUGGAUGGCUAGAAUACUGGAGAGGUGAGUGGAAUUCCGAGUGUAGAGGUGAAAUUCGUAGAUAUUCGGAAGAACACCAGUGGCGAAGGCGACUCACUGGACAGUUAUUGACGCUGAGGUGCGAAAGCGUGGGGAGCAAACAGGAUUAGAUACCCUUGUAGUC
rnacentral:rRNA from 1 species